rnacentral:rRNA from 1 species
AAACUGUGGUUCUUGAGUGAUGUGAGAGGCGAGGCGGAAUUCCCUGUGUACCGGCGAAAUGCGUAGAUAUACGGAGGAACACCAGUGGCGAAGGCGGCCUGCUGGACAUUAACUGACGCUGAGGCGCGAAAGCGUGGGGAGCAAACAGGAUUAGAUACCCUGGUAGUCCACGCUGUAAACGAUGGAUACUAGGUGUGGGGGGUCUGACCCCCUCCGUGCCGCAGUUAACACAAUAAGUAUCCCACCUGGGGAGUACGAUCGCAAGGUUGAAACUCAAAGGAAUUGACGGGGGCCCGCACAGCGGUGGAGUAUGUGGUUUAAUUCGAAGCAACGCGAAGAACCUUACCAGGGUUUGACAUUCUACUAACGAAGCAGAGAUGCAUUUAGGUGCCCUUCGGGAAAGUAAAACAGGUGGUGCAUUGGUUUGUCUCAACUUCUGUUAUGAAAAAUUUGGUUAAGUUCCGCAACGAAGCGCAACCCUUAUUGUUUAGUUUGUUACCGCAAGAACACUUUU